rnacentral:rRNA from 1 species
AACGUAGGUGGCGAGCGUUAUCCGGAUUUACUGGGCGUAAAGCGUGUGCAGGCGGGGAGACAAGUGGUGUAUGAAAUUUCCCGGCUUAACCGGGAAGGGUGAUGCCAGACUGUCUUUCUGGAGUGCGAGAGAGGGGCGUGGAAUUCCUGGUGUAGCGGUGAAAUGCGCAGAUAUCAGGAGGAACACCGAUGGCGAAGGCAGGUCUCUGGGCCGAUACUGACGCUGAGGAGCGAAAGCGUGGGGAGCGAACAGG